UAUUACCAAGCUGGUUGCAUCGUGGUGACUGAGAGUUAACAUGUAGCCAGGCGUGUGCAGUGUGAUCCCCUGCACACUUAUUGGUGCCUAUGCUGUGUUAGGUGUAGAUAGGUGAGCGUGUACAGAUUCUGCUUGAAACUCACCUGCUUCAGCAUGUGCCACGAGGAAAGUCUCAUCACUCCCAUUUCACAGAUGUAGGAUCCAAGACUCUGAGAGCUCCCACUCAGUGCCUGGCACUGGAAAGGCAGCAGUGAACAAGACAAGGUUUCCACUCUCAUGGAGACAACCAACAAGCAAACCAAUGAACAGGUCAUUUCAUGUCAUGGACAUCAAGGGCUCUGGACCUUGUGAAAGUUUCCCUUUGAGUUAUGACGGGAAUCCAGAACAACACUCUGUGGACCCCCUCUGUGGGUAGCAGGGAAAGCGAGUAGACUUGUUUUCUAAAACUCCCAAAGACGGACUCCAUAGACAGCGUCACAGGGAAACCAAUGUCAGCUCCAAAUUAAGAAGAAUCUCCUAGUUAUUCAAAGCUAUGAAGGUGGCAGGAGGAAGAGAGCUUGGAACCACGGGGACCCUGCUUGGGAGGGACUGUUCCUUCUGGACUUUCUGCCUCCGAAAAUCUACUUCCAUCUCAGCUCCAGCUCAGCUUCAGGAAGUACGGGACGGAAAUUAAAGGAGAAAAUGGUUCCACAGGUUUGGUGGCUACAAAAAGAUUUCCUUGAUAAACACUGCCCCCAAUCACUUAUCUGUGAAAGCUGCAUGAUGUGAAAUUAAA